ensembl:lncRNA
CCUCACUUACUCCUGGGGUCUGGGUGAGCAUCUGGCCCCGACCUGGUAAAGGGUCGGUUUCGCCCAGCAGUAAGCCCUACAUGUGGACAGAGGACGAACACCGGAUGAGCGAACGGAGACUACAUGCAACAAGUGGUGACCCCGACGUGAUCUGUCUGCUGAGGGUGGCUGCCCGGCGUGCCCGUGACGCGGAGAAGAGCCUGUGAGGUGGCGGCAGGUCGCAUACGUAACAAUGGACCAAGUCAUUAAGGUACUUGUGCAGUUUUGUAAGGACUACUUUGGAAAAUGUGCUCCUUCCCGGAAGGAGAUCGCGGCAGUUUUGUCGCUAUUAAAUGAGCUGGGGGAGCUGGACUCUCCCCGCUACGUUUUGGAUUCGAGUAGGUGGGACUUGCUCACCUCGGUGCUAUGCCAGCGCGCCAUGGCCAGUCAGAAGGCUACGGAACUUAAAACGUGGGGACUGAUAUUAGGAGCCCUUAAAGCGGCCAGAGUUGAGGGAAAGGUAUUGGUGGAGGCUCGAUACCUUUUGGGUCUCAGCGGAGGAGGUGAGACACAGGACCCGGUCGGGUCCGAUGGGGGUUCGGGAGAAGUUUCUUGCAGGGGCCGAGAGGAGACGGAGCCGCCAAUGACCGUUGGCGGGAUGGUGCCGGCUGAGCCGACCGCGCUCAGUUCAAAAGAAGACAAACAACAAGAGAGUGAAAGUUCGUUGUCUCGUCCCCCUCCCCCGUAUCCAAACCCCUCAGGUGGAACGUUGUAUCCUUUAUCAGAAUUACGUCAGUGUUACCUGACUCAAGGGGGCGAAGGAAGCUGUGAUCUACAUGGGCAGGAUCAACUUAGUGCCCACAUGGGGAGGGACCAGACAAAAGGUCCGUCCAAAGCGGACAGGGGGCAUAGCCUACUGUCUCUGGUCACUCCCAGGGGCGGUAGUGCGAGUGAUAGUGUAGAAGAGAAAGAAGGGACUGGCUUUGAGUGCAGGGAGAAGGAUCAAAUGACGGACUGGAAUGGGAUUAGAU